ensembl:lncRNA
GGGGUAUGGCUUUAAGCUAAAAGAGGGGAGAUUUAGGUCAGACGUUAGGAAGAUUUUUUUUUUCUCAGAGGUUGUGGAUGGUGCAUCCCUGGAGGCAUUCUAGACCAGGUAGGAUGGGAUCCUGAGCAGCCUCAUCUGGUGGUUGGCAACCCUGCUCAUGGCAGGGGGGUAGAACUAGAUGAUCUUUGAGGUCUCCUCCAACCUAAGCCAUUCUAUGAUUCUAUAAAUCAAAACAUACUUGAUGGGAGUGAAUAGCGUUCUAGUGUGUAAAUAUGUCCUUCCCGGUGACACCAUCCAGAAUAUUUAUUCUUUGGCUCUGUUGUGAAAGCAAGAGCUUUCAAUGGAUUGUGUGGGAUGGCAUUCACUUCCCAAAUGUUUAGAGAAAGGGUAGUUUUGUGGCUGAAAUAUAGGAUGCUCUGGGGCCUAUUCUAGACCCAAGAUCACCUUUAUGAGGGCUGGAAAUUUUCAAGAGCACUCAGCUCUCCUCCAGCCCUUCUAUAAAUGAAAUUCUUCCAGUGAAGGAACAUCACUGUCUGUUUCUACUUUCCAGCUUUAAAAUGAAUCUGACACUUCUGACCUGCCCCACAACCAUGUGUCUCUCCUGCUGAGUCUCCUUACAAAUCAGCAUCUUCAAAAAGCCUAGAGUAGGAACACCCCUGUCAUCCAACACCUAUCUCUAAGCAGCAGUCAGGAGCAGAAGAGAUGAAAAUACCUUCUUGGGGCUCUCCAGCAGGAUCUCCAGUUCUGCAGGUGCACCUCUGCUCGUUUUCUCGGCCAUCCAUGUCUUUGCGCAUCAUAUAUCACGCCUAUGUGUCCAGAGGAAAGAAAGAUCCCCUCCAACCCAGCAGCCCUGUAACGGAUGGACCUUCCCGAUUUGCAGCUAGCUGACAGCUUGUGAGAACAACAGCUUGAAUUACUGAAAGAACUUUUCCCACUGAGUUAAUCUGCAAUGGAUGUAGGUGACCUUCUAAAGGCAUCUAUUAAUCAAAAAACCCGUGCCCAUUCACUGCGCUAGGCUGAGCCCUUUGGGGGAAGGGGGGGUACUAAUUUCCCUCUGAGAUAAAUCAUAAUUUGACAAUAAUCAUCUGCCCUAAUCACUCCGAUUCUUCCCUUUAAUUAUUUGUACACACAGCUCUUCCUGCCUGGGAAACACAAAGGAUGACAUUAAACGUGGCCAGGGAGGGGUGGGCAGCGGGGCUGCGAGGCUGUCACCCAGCACUGUCCGCCAUGGGGCCAGCAUGGUGACACCCCACAGUGACACCCCACGGUGACACCCCACUGUGACACCCCCAGCCCUAAAUCUGUGUCUGUGGACAGAUAUACGCAGUGUGUAGUCGACAAGGAGCAAGGACAGUGAUGGCAGCUGGGCUCCGAGCGCAGCAGCAUCACUGCAGAGAUGUGCCUUGGUCUCUGCACGGUGCAGUCUGGGAGGCAGGUCUUUCAGGAUGUACACAUCAGCCCCCCCAAUACGAGCAAAAUCGGGGACAGCCCCCACAAGCUUCCUCAGAGCAGCUGGGCUGAUGUACAGUAAUUCCCACAGCCCAGGUCAGUAGGAUGUCUCACAAGCUAUAACACGGACCUACAGCACCAUAUGCUGGCCUAGUUUAGCAUCUACACAGCAGUGCAGCCUGCCUGGCUGCAUCGCUGCUCCCAGAGCACAGCAGAGCAGAGCUGGCCACCUGGCCCGCAGAGCAGAGCAGGCACUUGGGGACCUGCAGGGCUGCUGGUGCAGCUGGGAGAGGCAGCUCUGCUGCUGUGUGCGUGGGGACCGGCCAGCAGCAUGCCGGGACAGGCCGUCGGUGGGAGUGGGGCACACAGGUAGGACACGCUGGGCCCAGCCAUGUGAAGCCACUCUGUGGUUCAAGCAGUGCCUGCAGUGAAAGAGACG